rnacentral:rRNA from 1 species
CAGGCUUAACACAUGCAAGUCGAGGGGCAGCAUGACUGAAGCUUGCUUCAGUUGAUGGCGACCGGCGCACGGGUGCGUAACGCGUAUCCAACCUGCCGUUUACUCCGGAACAACCCGUCGAAAGGCGGAUUAAUGCCGGAUGGUGUCCACUUGGUGCAUGCCAUGGUGACUAAAGGAAACGGUAGAGGAUGGGGAUGCGACUGAUUAGGUAGACGGCGGGGUAACGGCCCACCGUGCCGACGAUCAGUAGGGGUUCUGAGAGGAAGGUCCCCCACACUGGAACUGAGACACGGUCCAGACUCCUACGGGAGGCAGCAGUGAGGAAUAUUGGUCAAUGGGCGAGAGCCUGAACCAGCCAAGUAGCGUGAGGGACGACUGCCCUAUGGGUUGUAAACCUCUUUUGAUUGGGAACAAAGAGCGCGACGUGUGGUGCGUUGCGUGUACCUUUCGAAUAAGCAUCGGCUAAUUCCGUGCCAGCAGCCGCGGUAAUACGGAAGAUGCGAGCGUUAUCCGGAUUUAUUGGGUUUAAAGGGAGCGUAGGCGGGGUAUUAAGUCAGCGGUGAAAUGUAAGGGCCCAACACCUGGCAUGCCGUUGAUACUGGCGGCCUUGAGUUCACACAAGGAAGGUGGAAUUCGUCGUGUAGCGGUGAAAUGCUUAGAUAUGACGAAGAACUCCGAUUGCGAAGGCAGCCUUCUGGGGUGUUACUGACGCUGAGGCUCGAAAGUGCGGGAAUCAAACAGGAUUAGAUACCCUGGUAGUCCGCACCGUAAACGAUGAGCGCCCGUCAUUGGCGACAGACAGUCAGUGACCAAGGGAAACCGUUAAGCGCUCCACCUGGGGAGUACGCCGGCAACGGUGAAAAUCAAAGGAAUUGACGGGGGCCCCGCACAAGCGGAGGAACAUGUGGUUUAAUUCGAUGAUACGCGAGGAACCUUACCCGGGCUUGAACUGCACAGGACGAUACCAGAGAUGGUAUUUCCCUUCGGGGUCUGUGUGGAGGUGCUGCAUGGUUGUCGUCAAGCUCGUGCCGUGAGGUGUCGGCUUAAGUGCCAUAACGAGCGCAACCCUUCGCCGCCAGUUGCCAUCAGGUAAUGCUGGGCACUCUGGCGGGACUGCCAUCGCAAGAUGUGAGGAAGGUGGGGAUGACGUCAAAUCAGCACGGCCCUUACGUCCGGGGCUACACACGUGUUACAAUGGGGGGUACAGAGCGUUGCUUUCGCGCGAGCGUUUGCGGACCGCAAAAACCCGUCUCAGUUCGGACUGGAGUCUGCAACCCGACUCCACGAAGCUGGAUUCGCUAGUAAUCGCGCAUCAGCCAUGGCGCGGUGAAUACGUUCCCGGGCCUUGUACACACCGCCCGUCAAGCCAUGAAAGCCGGGGGUGCCUGAAGUCCGUGACCGCGGAGGGUCGGCCUAGGGCAAAACUGGUG